rnacentral:rRNA from 1 species
UUCGGUGGAAAGAGUAAAGUGGCGCACGGGUGAGUAACGCGUGGGUAACCUGCCUUUGAAUCUGGGAUAACCCCGUGAAAACGGGACUAAUACUGGAUAAUGUCCCUUUGGCUGUGGCCUUAGGGAUGAAAGGUGACCUCUUCAUGAAAGUUGCCGUUCAAAGAGGGGCCCGCGUACCAUUAGCUUGUUGGUGGGGUAACGGCCUACCAAGGCUACGAUGGUUAGCUGGUCUGAGAGGAUGAUCAGCCACACUGGAACUGGAACACGGUCCAGACUCCUACGGGAGGCAGCAGUGAGGAACUUUGCGCAAUGGGGGAAACCCUGACGCAGCAACGCCGCGUGAGUGAUGAAGAUUUUCGGAUCGUAAAGCUCUGUCAAGCGGGAAAAAAUUCUUUCGGUCAAUAGCCGGAAGAACUGAUGGUACCGCUGGAGGAAGCACCGGCUAACUCCGUGCCAGCAGCCGCGGUAAUACGGAGGGUGCAAGCGUUGUUCGGAUUUACUGGGCGUAAAGAGCGUGUAGGUGGUUUAACAAGUCAGAUGUGAAAGCCCUGGGCUCAACUCAGGAAGUGCAUUUGAAACUGUUUUUCUAGAGUAUGGGAGAGGAGAGUGGAAUUCCCAGUGUAGAGGUGAAAUUCGUAGAUAUUGGGAGGAACACCGGUGGCGAAGGCGACUCUCUGGACCAAUACUGACACUGAGACGCGAAAGCGUGGGGAGCAAACAGGAUUAGAUACCCUGGUAGUCCACGCCGUAAACGAUGAGAACUAGGUGUAGCGGGUAUUGACCUCUGCUGUGCCGCAGCUAACGCAUUAAGUUCUCCGCCUGGGGAGUACGGCCGCAAGGCUAAAACUCAAAGGAAUUGACGGGGGCCCGCACAAGCGGUGGAGCAUGUGGUUUAAUACGACGCAACGCGAAGAACCUUACCUGGAUUUGACAUCCUCUUGCCACCCUGGAAACAGGGUUUAUCCGACUUGUCGGAAGAGAGAGUGACAGGUGCUGCAUGGCUGUCGUCAGCUCGUGUCGUGAGAUGUUGGGUUAAGUCCCGCAACGAGCGCAACCCUUGUCUCUAGUUGCCAGUAUUAAGUUAGGGACUCUAGAGAGACUGCCUCGGUUAACGGGGAGGAAGGUGGGGAUGACGUCAAGUCCUCAUGGCCUUUAUAUCCAGGGCUACACACGUGCUACAAUGGGCUGUACAAAGGGUAGCUAACUCGCGAGAGUACGCCAAUCCCAAAAAGCAGUUCUCAGUUCGGAUUGGAGUCUGCAACUCGACUCCAUGAAGUUGGAAUCGCUAGUAAUCGUGGAUCAGCAUGCCACGGUGAAUACGUUCCCGGGCCUUGUACACACCGCCCGUCACACCAC